GAUCCUGGUUCAGGAUGAACGCUAGCUACAGGCUUAACACAUGCAAGUCGAGGGGCAGCGGGAUUGAAGCUUGCUUCAAUUGCCGGCGACCGGCGCACGGGUGAGUAACGUGUAUCCAACCUUCCGUACACUCAGGGAUAGCCUUUCGAAAGAAAGAUUAAUACCUGAUGGUAUCUUAAGCACACAUGUAAUUAAGAUUAAAGAUUUAUCGGUGUACGAUGGGGAUGCGUUCCAUUAGGUAGUAGGG
rnacentral:rRNA from 1 species